AGUAACACCGAGGUUGGCAUCGGAACACUCUGCAAGGUGAUCUGGUUGGAAACAGGCAGCAUUGGAGUGGGGCAUCAGGAACUGGUGCUUGCUUAAGAACUGAAAUUUGGUGGAGGAAAUAUCUUCCCCACGUGCAGACCCGAGAAUGUAAGCCGUGCGCCUGGAACAAAAUAUUCUGCCACAGUCAAAAAUCACUAUUUUAAAAAGUGAUGUGCUGUUUGGAAAUAAUACGACAACCCUGAGGAGGUUUGGCAGUUCAGAGCAGUGUGCCUGUGUGGAAGGAAAGAGACUCAACAGCAGCAGUCCCUGUGGUUCCAGAGGCGGUUCCGUCCAGUCACAGGGGACCCACCUAUAAUUCUAGCACUGAAGGAGGGAGCCAGACCGAGGGAGCAGGGCCCAGGCAGGAAGACUUAGGAUUCCAGGCCAGCCUUGGCUACACAGUGAGACCUUGCCUCCAAAACAAACAAAUACAAGAUAACUGUAGCAAGUCCUUGUAAGGGCUAUAAAUUAGUGGUUCCUUUAAAGGCCACUUAAUUGCCACUUAGAAGGGCUUUUUACUGUGUGAGCCAUCUACUUCACAAAACAGAACUCUAUUAAGGUUUCUCAGAACGGCCAGGUCUAUAAGCAGGCAGUUUGUUGAGCAGGUUUGAAAGAGAUUCCUUCCCACCUUCCAUUCACCAGUCCUCCAAAAUUCCAGAUAAGCCUAUUUUUUACUCAGAGGGCAAAGUUGGCCUCUCGGCUUAUGUGCGUUCCCUGCACAAAGGAUAUGUUUUCAGCAAGCAGGACCACAUUCCUACCAAGCAAAAAUAUUCCCCCAUAAGCUGAUUGUCCCAGACCUACCAAGCCUUUCUCAAUGAAGCUCUGUUCUGCUGCCUGCAAAUGUGUGGCCUGUGUUCUCAGACAGUGGCUUGGGACAGGUGCAUGUCUUUGGAGAGGUUGGAGAGGGACCCUGAGCCAGCCUUUGCGACCACAGAGGCACUUCAUCUAAAGCUACUAGCUUUCUCUACAUUGGAAAAGCAAAUUCUCCAACAAGACCUCCUUCAAUAUCCUUCCCCGUAUAAAUUCACCCUUCUGCAAUCUUCUCACUGUCAAAAAUAGUUGAAAAUUCUACUAUCAUAAGAGAGGAAGGGGGGGUCAAAAAGAGUGACAUUAAAGAAGCCAGCAUUUGGAAGUA